GCGAAAACUUUGCCAUUCGGGAAACCGUGACAAGGGAACUCUGAGUGCCCGUAAAAUCGGGCUGUCCAUCGGUUUAAAUAACCGGUGAAGAAAGGGCCGGGCAAGACCGGUGCCAGCCGCCGCGGUAAUACCGGCGGCUCGAGUGGUGGCCACUAUUACUGGGCUUAAAGCGUUCGUAGCUGGUUUGUUAAGUCUCUGGGGAAAUCUUCCGGCUUAACCGGAAGGCGUCUCAGGGAUACUGGCAGACUAGGGACCGGGAGAGGUGAGAGGUACUCCAGGGGUAGGAGUGAAAUCCUGUAAUCCUUGGGGGACCACCUGUGGCGAAGGCGUCUCACCAGAACGGCUCCGACAGUGAGGGACGAAAGCUGGGGGAGCAAACCGGAUUAGAUACCCGGGUAGUCCCAGCUGUAAACGAUGCGCGUUAGGUGUAUCAGUGACCACGAGUCACUGAGGUGCCGAAGAGAAAUCGUGAAACGUGCCGCCUGGGAAGUACGGUCGCAAGGCUGAAACUUAAAGGAAUUGGCGGGGGAGCA
rnacentral:rRNA from 1 species